rnacentral:misc_RNA from 1 species
GAUGAAGAACGUAGCGAAAUGCGAUAAGUAAUGUGAAUUGCAGAAUUCAGUGAAUCAUCGAAUCUUUGAACGCACCUUGCGCUCCUUGGUAUUCCGAGGAGCAUGCCUGUUUGAGUGUCAGUAUACUCUCAACCCCACCAGCUUUUGUUAGCUGACUUUGGGGAUUGGAUGUUGGAGGUUUUGCCGGCCUUUUUCUUAGGUUGGCUCCUCUGAAAUGCAUUAGCGGAACCGUUUGCGAUCCGUCACAGGUGUGAUAAUUAUCUAUGCCUAGUGGGUUGCUCUCUGUCUUGUUCAGCUUCCAACUGUCCCGUUCACAUGGACAAACUAUAACUGAAUGUUUGACCUCAAAUCAGGUAGGACUACCCGCUGAACUUAAGCAUAUCAAUAAGCGGAGGA